GAUGAACGCUGGCGGCGUGCUUAACACAUGCAAGUCGAACGGUGAAGGAGGGCUUGCCCUCCGGAUCAGUGGCGAACGGGUGAGUAACACGUGGGCAACCUGCCCCUCACUCUGGGAUAACGCCGGGAAACCGGCGCUAAUACCGGAUACGACCAGGCGCGACCUCUCGCCUGGUGGAAAGAAUUUCGGUGAGGGUGGGGCCCGCGGCCUAUCAGCUAGUUGGGGGGGUAACGGCCCACCAAGGCGACGACGGGUAGCCGGCCUGAGAGGGCGACCGGCCACACUGGGACUGAGACACGGCCCAGACUCCUACGGGAGGCAGCAGUGGGGAAUAUUGCACAAUGGGCGCAAGCCUGAUGCAGCAACGCCGCGUGCGGGAUGACGGCCUUCGGGUUGUAAACCGCUUUUAGUAGGGAAGAAGGGCUUCGGCUUGACGGUACCUGCAGAAAAAGGACCGGCUAACUACGUGCCAGCCGCCGCUGUAACAC
rnacentral:rRNA from 1 species